GCCUGGGUGGCUCAGUCGGUUGGGCGUCUGACUUUGACUCAGGUCAUGAUCUUGCAAUCCAUGAGUUCAAGCUCCAUGUCAGGCU
rnacentral:tRNA from 1 species